CAUAUCAAUAAGCGGAGGAAAAGAAACCAACAGGGAUUGCCUUAGUAACUGCGAGUGAAGCGGCAAGAGCUCAAAUUUGAAAUCUGGCACCUUCGGUGUCCGAGUUGUAAUUUGUAGAAGCAUCUUUUGGAUUGGUCCUUGCAUAUGUUCCUUGGAACAGGACAUCAUAGAGGGUGAGAAUCCCGUUCAUGGUGGGGAAUCCAAUUCUUUGUAAAGUGCUUUCGAAGAGUCGAGUUGUUUGGGAAUGCAGCUCUAAGUGGGUGGUAAAUUCCAUCUAAAGCUAAAUAUUGGCGAGAGACCGAUAGCGAACAAGUACAGUGAUGGAAAGAUGAAAAGAACUCCGAAAGGAGAGUGAAAAAGGACGUGAAAUUGUUGAAAGGGAAGUGCUUGAGAUCAGUCUUAAGGUUUAGUGAUCAGUCUUCCUUUUGGUUGGUGCACUCACUAUUUCUUAGGCCAACAUCAGUUUUGGCGGCAGGAUAAUGACAUUGGAAUGUGGCUCUUUCGGGAGUGUUAUAGCCUUUGUUGAUACUGCCUGCUUAGACUGAGGACUGCGCUUUUGCUAGGAUGUUGGCAUAAUGAUCUUAAGCAGC
rnacentral:rRNA from 1 species